rnacentral:lncRNA from 1 species
GGGAGUUGGGGUGACCGCCGGGCAGGGCAGGGAUGAGGACAGGGCUGGCGGGAAAAGGCCAAGCCUUGGCAUGGGCACGAGAGUUAAUGUUGUCUUGUGUUUUAUGCUUGGAUUCACUGUUUCACUGUGUCGCACAAUUCCGCCGACCUUUGCGCACCCCAGCAUAUGUGUGCCCGCGGUUUCCAAUGCUCUAUUGAAUGCACCAAAAGCCAGCCCAGGCCCUGCGUCCUAGGGCCCAAACGAGCUCCUCCGUACAAUGUUUGCUCGCACACUCCGGCGCACGCGAUUAGGUGUCGCGCGCUACUGUAUGGUAGCCCUUGUGUCGCACAAGUGGUUGGAGCGUGUUUGGGGUGAGUUGGCGCGGCAGGGUGGUGUCGCGCCCAUGCUGCCCCGCUUGCGGGGCUUGUUCCCGGCCGGUCUCUGAUGGCUAUGGUGUAGUCCUAUGAAUUAUCUGUGCGCGGGUUGGUGCCCGGCGAAUUUCUGUUGCAUGGGGCCUGCGCGCAUGGCGUGCCCCUCGGGGGGUAAUCGCGCUCGGAUCACAUAAGGGCCGCUCGAACUAAAAUUUGCCACUCAUACAAUAAUUACAGCUACUGUAUGUCUACUCGCCCAUGUGUAGCACGCUUGGGCGCUAGCUCGCAUUUGAGAGAACCAACACCCUUGCUCCCCCCAUUUUCGUCAAAACCAACAUUCUGCAAAUUGAUACUGUAGUUCUCACUCUGAGUAGCAGCUACGGCUGUCGUUCCCGUGGUUGAGAGCCCUUACCGUUGUGGUUCUACUGUGGAGGCAGCGGGCGUAGCGACCGGGCGCAAGCAGCCGAGCGGGCGGUGGAGAACCAGUCGCAAAAGUCUGCGGAAUUGUGGGAUCCAGUGAAGGCGGGUUCGUGUGUCGGUUGUGACAGAGCGAGGUGAGCCCGAGCGCGAAGCCCAGCUGGCGCUACAACCUUUGGGUCAAAAGUCAACGAUAGCCGCUGCGGGCCAGGCGCGUGGCCUCGCUGGGUCGCUGGUUGCACCCAGCAUGGCGUUUCGCAAGCUUAACUGGUUUUGGUUGCAAGUUCCUUCGCGGCGAUGCUCCAAUUGCGCCCUAUGCACUGGUUGCAGGUCGUCGGCGGUGUUCCGGCGUCAUGCUUCCGUGGCAAAAUGUAUGAUGCGCUCCGGUCAUCGAGUCGCAUGUGCCGGAGGGACCAAUAGCAGGCAGCGCAGCUUAGAAUUGCAAUCGGUGAGUAUAUGUAGACAGCCACUACUAACGUGUAUCAUUAGCGACCAGUCAUACUUGUGGCGCGUCGGCACGCCGCACGCGUGCCCGCCGUCACUCACCCCAAAGGGGUCUGUUCCCGACACUCGCGCCAGCCGUACCGAUGCGCCAGCAUUUCGCGCAACCAUACCAUCUGACGGAGCGCUAUGCGCAAUCAUCGCUUACCGAAUGCCGGCUCAGGUUCCUAUCCGCAACUGCUCCAUCCCCACUAAGUUACGGUACUCACUUCCCCUCCUUCACACCCUUUCCUGCCUGCCUCCACNNNNNNNNNNNNNNNNNNNNNNNNNNNNNNNNNNNNNNNNNNNNNNNNNNNNNNNNNNNNNNNNNNNNNNNNNNNNNNNNNNNNNNNNNNNNNNNNNNNNCUCCGCUGUGCCAAUGUCUGGUGGCAAGGGAAAGGCGCCAUCGCUGACACCGUACUCCCUUUCAGCCUCCACGGCUGAGACCAUCUUCACGCCUGGAGCAUUGGGGUUGACAAGCUUGCGCAACCACGCUGCUGAGCGGUCCAGCCGGUCACCCCACUGCUCGGGGCUGAGGAAGGGGCGGUGCUCCACCUUUAAGUUCUUUUGGAGGGUUGGAUCGUAGUGUUGCAUGGAGCGCCACAGGGAUUUGAAAGUGAUCUUGUGGGAUUUGAGAACGUCUUGAAAGGGCGCGUCGUGCUCGUACUUGGCGGCAGAGUCAUAGUGGACGCUCUUGACGUGGUCGACCAGGGUUUUCAGGAUGGGGUCCGACACCGUGCGCGGCCGGCCUGGGCGUGGCUUGGGCUCUGUCCCGCCAGUGUGCACGUAGCGCACGUACCACUUCUUAAUCUGCUCUGCCAUAUGCUUGGGUGAUGCCUCCCAUGGUGUGUAAUCAACUGGCUGCGGGAAGAUCUCUGGGCAUGCCUCGCGUGCCUUGAACUCCGCCACGGCAAUGGGGCCCCAGCGCUGAGGUGUGGUGCCACGUGUGGUAAGCCCAGAACGGUAACAGGCCUGAAUGGCAAUGGCGGCUACUAGCGCAGCUACCAUUCGCCGCCAUGCGUCCGUUGACAGGUUGGAAUAGAUGGUGCCAGUGGUAGCAUCCAUCCUUUCACCUGUGUGCGUCGGUGAUGGGGUUUGCGGGUGCGUGGUGAGAGAGGGGGACAGGUGCACGCUAUCAUGAACCAGGCUAAAUUCGUAAUAAUUCGCCCCCCAUGCGCCACAAACCCCACCCAACCUGAAACCCCUUAGUUCCCCAGAUCCAUUUCCACGUCUGAAGGCGGGUUCGUGUGUCGGUUGUGACAGAGCGAGGUGAGCCCGAGCGCGAAGCCCAGCUGGCGCUACAACCUUUGGGUCAAAAGUCAACGAUAGCCGCUGCGGGCCAGGCGCGUGGCCUCGCUGGGUCGCUGGUUGCACCCAGCAUGGCGUUUCGCAAGCUUAACUGGUUUUGGUUGCAAGUUCCUUCGCGGCGAUGCUCCAAUUGCGCCCUAUGCACUGGUUGCAGGUCGUCGGCGGUGUUCCGGCGUCAUGCUUCCGUGGCAAAAUGUAUGAUGCGCUCCGGUCAUCGAGUCGCAUGUGCCGGAGGGACCAAUAGCAGGCAGCGCAGCUUAGAAUUGCAAUCGGUGAGUAUAUGUAGACAGCCACUACUAACGUGUAUCAUUAGCGACCAGUCAUACUUGUGGCGCGUCGGCACGCCGCACGCGUGCCCGCCGUCACUCACCCCAAAGGGGUCUGUUCCCGACACUCGCGCCAGCCGUACCGAUGCGCCAGCAUUUCGCGCAACCAUACCAUCUGACGGAGCGCUAUGCGCAAUCAUCGCUUACCGAAUGCCGGCUCAGGUUCCUAUCCGCAACUGCUCCAUCCCCACUAAGUUACGGUACUCACUUCCCCUCCUUCACACCCUUUCCUGCCUGCCUCCACCCUCAGCGAAACUUCUUGGCCGGCCAGUGCCCGCCCGCCUUCAGCACCGCCGGCAACGUGUGUGCCAGCAUCCGCUUCAUACAGUCACGCACAAACUGUGGCGUGAUGACCUUCUGAACCACCUUCUCCAUCUCGUCCAGGUAGGGCUGCAGGGGGUCCUCGCCAGCCUCGGUGGGCCGCCGUGCGUUGCAGAACUGCCGCAUGACGAGGGCAACGGCCGCGUGCGACUGCUCCACUGGGCAGUGCAUGUCGCCGCUGUACGUGGGAAGCUUCAUGAAAUUGGCCUUAGUGACGCCCACACCACGGAAGUCAGCAAUCUCGCCGUUGCCGUGGCAUGCCGGGUUGUCCCAUGACACGUAGGGCUUGAUAGGGGCCACGGGCGGGGGUGGCGGCGGCUUCCUCUUACCCCGCCGGCCCUGCUUCUGCGCGGCCUUCACCGCCGCGGUUUGCUUUGCAGCCAGCCUUGCAGCCUUCUCCCGGAACGCGCCCAGCAUGCGCCCUAUGUACUUAACAAACUCCGCCUUCGUGAUGAACCUUGCAUCCUUCCCCGCCAGGGUCUGCGGUGGUGACAGGCAGUGGCGGGCGGCAGCUUGAGCAUGGCGCGUGGAGGACACAACCGGCGGCGCUUCCCACCCUCUGUGGCAGCGCGAUACAGCCCCCUGAACCGGGAGCCGCUAAACGCACGGGGGACAGAUGACCGGCGGCCCGUGCUGUGGAGGCUGCAGUGUGGGUGCUUUGUCUACAAGGCACGGCACACAGUGGCUAACAGUAUUCGGCGAUGUGCCCCGCACGCACCCAGCUGCUUCAACUGCACCUAUCACACCUCCGGCCGAGGUGCAAGUGAGGCCGCACAGCGCGCGUUUCGCAUGCUGAUUGACCUUGCGCGGCGGCUGGGGGAGGCGUGUACGGUGGUGUGGGAGGCGCGGGUGGUUGAGGGGUGUGGCCCCUUCGACUUUUGGCUGUGGGAGUGGGGUGUGGUGGUUGAAGUGGAUGGCAUGCAGCACACGGAUACCCCGCAUCACGGCACGGAAGCGCAAGCACAGUGGCUGGUGGAUCGGUGGAAGGAAGCAGCUGCUGUUCGCAAGCGGCUGCAUGUGGCGCGGUUGCAUGUGAUGGACAUGGUGUGCUGGGAGGCCGUGGUUGCGCGUGCACUGUGUGCUGCUCGUAACGGCAUUCCGCCGUGCGUGCACUACAGCGACUACUACCUGCGGCCUGUGAUUACACAGUCAUGAGCUCCCAACGCACCUGGUACUGUAGCUCGGGUGGCGGCGUGUAGGCCCUGCCUGUGGUGCCGGCAACAGGCUCCCAUCGCACGACGCCGAAGGCAGGGCACACGGUGAUGAUGUACUUGAUGGUGUUGGGUCGUGAUGAUCCGCAGCGGUAGUCCUCAAUGGUGAUGCUCUGCCCGCGCGGGCCUGCAGUCCAGGCGGUGUAGUCGGUUGGGUUGCAGAUGAAGGUCUUUUCGUCGGUCAUGGCGAAACCGUUGAAGAUGGUUAAGUUGAGCCAUGCGUCGCUUUCAAACUCCGCUGUGCCAAUGUCUGGUGGCAAGGGAAAGGCGCCAUCGCUGACACCGUACUCCCUUUCAGCCUCCACGGCUGAGACCAUCUUCACGCCUGGAGCAUUGGGGUUGACAAGCUUGCGCAACCACGCUGCUGAGCGGUCCAGCCGGUCACCCCACUGCUCGGGGCUGAGGAAGGGGCGGUGCUCCACCUUUAAGUUCUUUUGGAGGGUUGGAUCGUAGUGUUGCAUGGAGCGCCACAGGGAUUUGAAAGUGAUCUUGUGGGAUUUGAGAACGUCUUGAAAGGGCGCGUCGUGCUCGUACUUGGCGGCAGAGUCAUAGUGGACGCUCUUGACGUGGUCGACCAGGGUUUUCAGGAUGGGGUCCGACACCGUGCGCGGCCGGCCUGGGCGUGGCUUGGGCUCUGUCCCGCCAGUGUGCACGUAGCGCACGUACCACUUCUUAAUCUGCUCUGCCAUAUGCUUGGGUGAUGCCUCCCAUGGUGUGUAAUCAACUGGCUGCGGGAAGAUCUCUGGGCAUGCCUCGCGUGCCUUGAACUCCGCCACGGCAAUGGGGCCCCAGCGCUGAGGUGUGGUGCCACGUGUGGUAAGCCCAGAACGGUAACAGGCCUGAAUGGCAAUGGCGGCUACUAGCGCAGCUACCAUUCGCCGCCAUGCGUCCGUUGACAGGUUGGAAUAGAUGGUGCCAGUGGUAGCAUCCAUCCUUUCACCUGUGUGCGUCGGUGAUGGGGUUUGCGGGUGCGUGGUGAGAGAGGGGGACAGGUGCACGCUAUCAUGAACCAGGCUAAAUUCGUAAUAAUUCGCCCCCCAUGCGCCACAAACCCCACCCAACCUGAAACCCCUUAGUUCCCCAGAUCCAUUUCCACGUCACUGUGUCGCACAAUUCCGCCGACCUUUGCGCACCCCAGCAUAUGUGUGCCCGCGGUUUCCAAUGCUCUAUUGAAUGCACCAAAAGCCAGCCCAGGCCCUGCGUCCUAGGGCCCAAACGAGCUCCUCCGUACAAUGUUUGCUCGCACACUCCGGCGCACGCGAUUAGGUGUCGCGCGCUACUGUAUGGUAGCCCUUGUGUCGCACAAGUGGUUGGAGCGUGUUUGGGGUGAGUUGGCG